CACACACUGAUCAAUGCAGACACACACACACUGACUCAGGCAGACACACACACAUUAACUCAAGCAGACACACGCACACUGACUCCAGCAGACACACACACACUGGCGAAAGCAGACACACACACACUGACCCAAGCAGACAUACACACACUGACUCAAGCAGACACACAUUGAUCCAAGCAGACACACACACAUUGAUGAAGACACAUACACGCACACACUGACUCAU